GAGCGGGUAGCGUAGUGGUCAGCGCGCUCACUAAGCGUUGAUCAGCUUUGCUUUUCCGGCAGCGUUUAGCAAGAGACCUGGGUUCGAACCCCAGCCCGCCCA